UACAGAGGGUGCGAGCGUUAAUCGGAAUUACUGGGCGUAAAGCGCGCGUAGGCGGCUUUGCAAGUCGGGUGUGAAAUCCCCAGGCUUAACCUGGGAACUGCAUUCGAGACUGCAUUGCUAGAGUAUGGGAGAGGGAAGUGGAAUUUCCGGUGUAGCGGUGAAAUGCGUAGAUAUCGGAAGGAACAUCAGUGGCGAAGGCGACUUCCUGGUCUGUUACUGACACUGAGGCACGAAAGCGUGGGGAGCGAACAGG
rnacentral:rRNA from 1 species